rnacentral:rRNA from 1 species
GACGUAGGGCGCGAGCGUUGUCCGGAUUUAUUGGGCGUAAAGAGCUCGUAGGCGGCUUGUUGCGUCAGCUGUGAAACCUCCGCGCUCAACUGUGGGCUUGCAGCUCGAUACGGGCAGGCUUGAGUUCGGUAGGGGAGACUGGAAUUCCGGUGUAGCGGUGGAAUGCGUAGAGAUCCGGAGGAGACCGGUGGCGAAGGCGGUCUGCUGGGCAGUUUCUGACACUGAGGCGCGACAGCGUGGGGAGCAACAGG